AGUGAACGCUGGCGGUAGGCCUAACACAUGCAAGUCGAACGGCAGCACAGAGGAGCUUGCUCCUUGGGUGGCGAGUGGCGGACGGGUGAGGAAUACAUCGGAAUCUACUCUGUCGUGGGGGAUAACGUAGGGAAACUUACGCUAAUACCGCAUACGACCUACGGGUGAAAGCAGGGGAUCUUCGGACCUUGCGCGAUUGAAUGAGCCGAUGUCGGAUUAGCUAGUUGGCGGGGUAAAGGCCCACCAAGGCGACGAUCCGUAGCUGGUCUGAGAGGAUGAUCAGCCACGCUGGAACUGAGACACGGUCCAGACUCCUACGGGAGGCAGCAGUGGGGGAUAUUGGACAAUGGGCGCAAGCCUGAUCCAGCCAUACCGCGUGGGUGAAGAAGGCCUUCGGGUUGUAAAGCCCUUUUGUUGGGAAAGAAAUCCAGCCGGCUAAUACCUGGUUGGGAUGACGGUACCCAAAGAAUAAGCACCGGCUAACUUCGUGCCAGCCGCCGCCGUAA
rnacentral:rRNA from 1 species